CAGCUUGCCCAGAACCUUCACCCUCGUGCUCCAGCUUCCAGAAUUUUCCCCGUUCGUACUUGGUACCAUCGUCGGAGUGGAGCUGUGCCGUUCCUGUCCCCCAAACUUAUAAUCUGUUCUUUCUUUUUUAUGCUGGAAAUUGCUGAUCGAGAUCUUCCUCUUCCUCUAUCCAUGUGAUCUGUAAGGGUUUAAGCUUUUCUCUCCCUUUAGCUUUGUCUCUCUUCGUCCGCUGCCAGUAAAUGGAGGAAAACACUGAAGUCCUCCUCCUUCGACGGUGAUGGAGUGUGCGUGCAUCAAUCUUCUCUCUCCCUUGUUCUUCAACAUGAGCUUCCUCCCUCUGUUCGAGCUACUUCAGAUUACGGUAGCCAAGGAAAGAGAGGGGUAAGAUUCUGAACAUCAAUUACUCCUGCUUAUCAUGCAUAGUAGCAAUCAAAAAUAGGAAAGAGCACAGCCCAACCUUAUAACAUACUCACAAGAUCAGGGAGGAGGAAGACAAAAGACUCUCACCUCAAGUUAGCAAUAGCAGAAAGAGGAUGAAGAAUAGCAAUGGCAGAGGUAAAUAGUAAUGGCAGAGGCAGAAGAAGAGUGUCGGCCAGACAGGGGAAGAGGGAUGAUCACAAAUCGAGACCCUCUACAACAACAAAUUAGCUCCGACAGCAUGGAAUUGAAGACCCCAACACGACACUAUCAGAGGAGGAAGAAGAACAGUGACCGAAGGGAGGAUGAAGGGAGAAAUCGACAGUGUUCCAAGGAAGAAUACUCAUAGCUCAAUCCCUAGCAGCGGCGGACAGAAUGCUCAACCUCUUCCAUGGCAAUGACGUUGAAGAUGAAGAAAGAGAUGGAGGAAGAACAGAGACCAGAGCCUAAGGUCUGAACUCUCUCUCUUCCUCUCGCACUGUCUGGAAAAUUCGAAAAUGGAGGAGGAUAGGAGAAUAGUCCUAAUGCGUGUCCUGUUUCUGAUUUGCCUCUCCUUAUUUUAUUUUUUUCAAGGGUAUGAUAGUAAUUUCACCUAAACUGAAAGGAAAAGGAAAAUCUUCCACAUCCAGGUAAAUUCGAACUCAAAACUUAUGUAUAAAGAUUCAGAGUCAUUGCCACUAAGUCAUUAGUUCACUCUUGUUAAACUACCCCAAAUAAUAUAUUAAUAUAUAUAUAUAUAUAGUUAAAAUACCUUACUAUAAAUUUUAAUUAAAUUUUUGAGUUAUUACAUUCAUCUUUGUCCUUCUCCAUUCUAGCACGUCCAUCGACUUGGGUAUGUGAUCACCAUGAUCGAAUGAUGCUAAGGGUCCACACAUCGUCCUCUCCGUCUUGUUUCACAGUAUUCACUUUGCUGUUACAUUCGUGGGUAUGGCUAUGGCUGUGGGGGCAUUAAAAUUCUUCCUUCCAUGCUUCCUGGCACCACUAUCACCUUUCCCUGUUUGGCUAUCAGGUUUUACUCUUUCCUUAUUGAGUUAGAGCAACAUGCAAGUGGGUUGUCAUUCUGGUGUGACUAAGUAUCUGCCAGACUCCUUUCUCCCUUACUGUACCAUCAACCUUCUCCCUCCUUCUUCUCCAGCAUUACAUGACAGCAUCUCCAUCUCUACCUUUUUUUUUUUUGAAAUCACGGAUCUAGUGUGCUGGAGCUUCAAGCUCUUCUCUUCAUUUCUUCAAUUGACUUGGGUAUUUGGAACAAGACAAAAAUUCGAUCGAAGUUGUAAAAAGUGAAUUUUAGAUACUACAGGUAAGUAGAUAGCGUCCUAACUAAUUUAUCAAUUAGUUUUUCUUAUUAAAAUUUAUUUUGUUACAUUGAUUAUUUUAAUAAUAAUUAUGUUGAUUAGUGGAUACUUUGUUAAUUAAAUUUCUUUAUUUGAUGAUGGUGAAAAAUGAUUCAUCAUAGUAUAUGAAUGUUUUACCCUUAUGAGAUAUCCUUUUAAAAUUAAUAAAAUUCCUUUGCAUUAGUAUUGGCAAUUUUUGAUUAUUUAAUAAAUGCAAGCAUGAGCAUUAGAUAUGAAAUUUUAUUUUGGUAAGUUUUAAUGCUUAAAAGUAUUCAUGCGAGUUUGAUUUUGAGAAUGAGAACUAUAUCUUGAAAGUGAUGAUUUUCUUGCAUGUUUGAAAAUGAUUCUAAAAAGGAACUUUAUAUAGAACAGUGGUUGCUAAUGACAGUUCCGUUAGCUCUUGGCAUGCCAUGGUACAGCUAGCUUGCAAGGUGUUUGUAGGAGGUGCUAGUCCUGUGCAAUAGCUAACACAUGUGGAAUGGAGGGAUGAUUAUUCGUGAACAUUGUAUUCACAUUUGUCUUCGUGGCAUAAACCGCGUUUGGUUAUUUAUCCUUAUGGACUGUGUGUCCACGUUUGUUAUUUGUUCUGAUAAGUCCCCAUAAUUACGAGUUUUUAAUUAUUUGAUAGACCUAUUUUUCAUUGAUUUUGAUUAAUGACAUAUAUAUAAUUAUUUAAUGCAAUUAUUUGCUUUAUUGAAAGUACAUGAUAAUAACAUUUAAUAUGAUACUUUAAUGAAUCAGGAAUUUAUUUAAAGUUACAUAAAGUCCUUUUACGAUGAAGUUUAUUAUAUAUUUGUUUGUAAAAAUUUUUAUUGCUAACACACAUAAUCAUGUUAAACUUUCUUUUUAUACAUAUUUAAUUAU